UACGGGGGGAGCAAGCGUUGUUCGGAUUUACUGGGCGUAAAGGGCGCGUAGGCGGCCACCGCAAGUCGACUGUGAAAUCUCCGGGCUUAACCCGGAAAGGUCAGCCGAUACUGCGGGGCUAGAGUGCAGAAGGGGCAACUGGAAUUCUUGGUGUAGCGGUGAAAUGCGUAGAUAUCAAGAGGAACACCUGAGGCGAAGGCGGGUUGCUAGGCUGACACUGACGCUGAAGCGCGAAAGCCAGGGGAGCAAACGGG
rnacentral:rRNA from 1 species